rnacentral:lncRNA from 10 species
GGCUUGACUCCCCAGGAAAACAAAGUUGAUUGCUUCUCCUUCUUUAUAAUCUGACCAGAUUAUGCUCCAAGAAGAGCCAAGUGGCAGGAGCCUGGCUCAGGAGCCUCAGAGUGAGGGCUUCCACAUGUGACACACUUUGAGAGGACAGCAGUGAUUUUAGCUUGGGGAGAGCCUAGUGUUGAUUUUAUGGAUCACUUCUAAGGACACUGGCUCUCAUGGUAUCUUGGAAGCAGUCGAGUGAUUUUGUCUCUCUAGUAAAACCCAUAAUCAUAUCUGAUGUAUAUUCAUGCAGUGGUAGUGUUUAGUGCUGAAUGCUAUUUGUUACUCUGCAUUGAGCUAAACCCCAGAAAUUUUCAGCUGUGGAAGUGAAGAAUGAAGAGAGUAUUUUUUCAGUGUGGUGGUAGUCGUAAGUAUGUGGAUGACUCUGCUCCCAUUAUACGCUAGGAAGGAUACCCUUGGUUGUUCUUGGUAUAGUUACCUCUUUCUGUUUCUUUUUCUUUUUCUUUUUUUUUGAGA